AUGUUGUCUGUAGCUCUUCUGCUGCUGCUGGCAGCUGGAUCCUGUGUGAAGUGUGAGACACUGACACAGCCAGCCUCUGUGACUGUGCAGCCAGGACACACUCUCACCAUCUCCUGUAUUCACUCAGAUUCUGUUAGAGCAGGACCUGGCUUCCACACAGCAUGGAUCAGACAGCCUGCUGGGAAAGGCCUGGAGUAUAUUGGAUAUUACUGUACUGGAUGCACUCUGUAUAUGAAAGAUUCACUGAAGAACAAGUUCAGUAUAAAUGCAGAUUUCUCCAGUAACACAGUGACUCUGAAUGGACAGAACAUGCAGCUUGAAGACACUGCAGUGUACUACUGUGCCAGAAGAGACACAGUCACACAAAGUAUAUGUGGAGCUGUACAAAAACACGUCAGACUGUUAUUCACUGUGGCCAACACAGGAGGAGCUCUCACAUCACUGAGAUAAUAAUUUGUUUAACUGCAGCUGGACUAACUUCCUCUUCUAAUAAUUUACAUACUUGUACAUUUUGUGGUUGUUUUUGAAAAUAUUUGAUGACAAAGUUGUUAAUGAUGUAUUUUAUGUUAAACCCACAGAAUUGUUUAAUACAGUUAUAGAAAGAACAUUUGUAUUUUAUUGAAACUAUUAAACUGUCUUUGAUAAAUCUAUGUGACAAAGACACAUUUGAGUUUCCCACUUUCUUUCAGGAGCAGCAACUUUGGUGUAAAACUUGCCUGGGUAGUUACAGCCUGUUGUUACACCAGAUGUACUUUCUGACUCCCGUUGGACAAAGACACAACAGGUCAAGAAUCUGAAACAAAUCUUAUACCAUUCUUGCAUAUAUUUGUUUUCUGCAUGUGUGACUGGGGAAUUCUACCUAUUUUACAGUCCAACACUUUAUGCAGGUCUUUACUAAAAAUUAAAAAGUAAUAAUUCUAGAAAAAAAAGGAGUGUGGAUUUGAGAAAUAUGUGUAUUUUUUUUCUGUAGGAUAUAAUUGUCUCCACAAAUCUAUUAGCCCAAUGUAGCCUCACAUAGUUUGGCCGGCCAACAUAGGGGCAUAGCAUCGGCAGGCACGCCUCCCCUCCCCCUGUUUUCACUUCCGUGUUUUCAAAUUACACGCACUAUUUAAACGCAGAGUACAGGGGUAUCACCAAGCUGCUGCUCGGCUUCACUUGUCUGCGGGUAUAUGAUAGCUGCCUGGUAGGUGCCAGUAUUUGACUGUAGAUUUGUGGAUGUUUGAAAUUGUAUUUUUGGCUUUUAUUGUGUGUGUGUUCUUUUAGACUGACUACAGCCUGUUCCCGGUGUUGCGUGCUCCACGGCCCCUCAUGAGCUUCGAUUUUAGGUAGUUUUUUUAUGAGGUUCUAAAAGGGGUUCUUAUUAUGGGAUGUGUGCUCUAACGAAGUAUUUGUUUUAUAGACACUGUUGGCCACUGCUGUUUUGUUUGGGUUAAGUUAAUUUUCGUCUAGUUAGGGGUUCUUGUGGGUUGGGUGUCGAUAUUGUUUGACCCCGGUCCGAUUUUAGUUAUGUAAGAUACCCUGUUCUUUCCUUGUGUAUAUUUUAUAAAUUAAUUUGUUUUUCCUAGGGUUGGCGCGGUCGCCCCACUUGGUGGAGGGUUGGUGUCGGAGUUCCCCACUUUGGGCUCAUCACUCCUCGUGUGUUAUGGUAUUUUUGCACGCCCUCGUUUUGCACGUUUUAAGUUACCCUUAGGUUUUUUUUUAUUUGUAUGUGUGUGUGUGUGGUUCACGGAGCCCAGUGGAUACUCCGAUUCCAGGUGGUUGCUGCUCACACCGGGUGCGGCCGUGUGUAGCCUACCCUAUAUUUUAUAGUCUGUGCUGAUUUGCAUCGGUUUUUAGCUUGGACUCACAUACUUAUACUUUUGUAAAUAAAUAUUGUUAAAUUCUUUAAAA